rnacentral:rRNA from 1 species
CUACGGGACGCUCCAGUGAGGAAUAUUGGUCAAUGGGCGAGAGCCUGAACCAGCCAUCCCGCGUGCAGGAUGACGGCCCUAUGGGUUGUAAACUGCUUUUCCAUACCAAGAAACCUGAUUACGUGUAAUUAGUUGCCGGUAGUAUGGGAAUAAGCAUCGGCUAACUCCGUGCCAGCAGCCGCGGUAAUACGGAGGAUGCAAGCGUUAUCCGGAUUCAUUGGGUUUAAAGGGUGCGCAGGUGGGCUUGUAAGUCAGUGGUGAAAUGUUGCCGCUUAACGGUAAAAUUGCCAUUGAUACUGCAAGUCUUGAAUAUAGUGGAGGUAGGCGGAAUGUGUUGUGUAGCGGUGAAAUGCAUAGAUAUGACACAGAACACCGAUUGCGAAGGCAGCUUACUAAGCUAUUACUGACGCUGAGGCACGAAAGCGUGGGGAUCGAACAGGAUUAGAUACCCCGGUAGUC